CUCCAUCUACAUUGACAAGCUUGUAAGCACCAUUUGAAUAUGCUUCUUGUAUGACAUAUGGUCCAUUCCACUUUGGGGUGAAUUUGCCCCCAUACUUACUAGAAGUAAUAAUAGGCCUUCUUACUGUAAGGACUUGAUCUCCAACUUAGAAGCACCUCAAGCGAACCUUUUGUUGAAAGAACGAGAUAGCUGGGCUUGAUAACAUUCAAGAUUUUGUUGAGCUUCCAUCCUCUUUUUAUCAAGAGCUUCUGACUCCGUAAGAUGCAACUUAGCAUUUUCUGUAUUGGUGAGCCCUUCUUGAACAACCAGUCUUAAAGAAGGUAUUUGACGCUCAAGUGGCAGGACUGCUUCAACUCCAAAAGCAAGUGAGUAUAGGGUUGGUUGCGUCGGUGUACGGUAAGUUGUCCUAUACGCCCACAAAGCUUCUUCCAUUCACUCAUGCCAGUCUCAUUUAGAUUUGUAGAAGACUUUCUUCAGCAAGUUGCAUAAAGUCUUAUUGAAUGCUUCGGCUAGACCAUUGGCGGCAGCAUAGUACAUGUUUUGCAGAAAUUUUGACUUUUGAAAGAGAGUCGCCACUUAAUUUUGAAAAGGAAUUAAGAAACCUUUGUAAAAUACUUAGACGAUUCAAAAUUGGAAAAUCGUUUAAGUUAGAAAUUCUGAGUAAGCGGUUUCUAUUAACGUUUUAGGAAGUUGUUAGGUACCUAAAACGUCGGCUAACUUGCGGUUAUCCGGACUGUUUGAAAACGUCUUUUGACUAACUUCAAAAAGAUUAAUUUACUGAAAAGUAGUUGAUUAG
rnacentral:lncRNA from 1 species